rnacentral:misc_RNA from 1 species
CUGGAACGCGCUUCGGCGCACCCAGAAACCCUUUGUGAACUUAUACCUACUGUUGCCUCGGCGCAGGCCGGCCUCUUCGCUGAGGCCCCCUGGAGACAGGGAGCAGCCCGCCGGCGGCCAACUAAACUCUUGUUUCUUUAGUGAAUCUCUGAGUAAAAAACAUAAAUGAAUCA